CUACGUAGGGGGCAAGCGUUAUCCGGAUUUACUGGGUGUGAAGGGAGCGUAGGCGGGAGUGCAAGUCAGAUGUGAAAUGCAUGGGCUUAACCCAUGAGCUGCAUUUGAAACUGCAUUUCUUGAGUGAAGUAGAGGUAAGCGGAAUUCCUGGUGUAGCGGUGAAAUGCGUAGAUAUCAGGAGGAACACCGGUGGCGAAGGCGGCUUACGGGGCUUUUACUGACACUGAGGCGCGACAGCGGGGGGAGCAAACAGGAUUAGAUCCCCGGGUAGUCCACGCCGUAAACGAUGGGCACUAGGUGCUCCGGGGAGCGACCCUUGGAGUACCGGCGCUAACGCAUGAAGUGCCCCGCCUGGGGAGUACGGCCGCAAGGCUGAAACUCAAAUGAAUUGACGGGG
rnacentral:rRNA from 1 species